rnacentral:rRNA from 1 species
AUUGAACGCUGGCGGCGUGCCUAAUACAUGCAAGUCGAACGCAGUGGGGACGGGUGAGUAACACGUGGGUAACCUCCCAUCAGAGGGGAUAACACUUGGAAACAGGUGCUAAACCGAUACUGAUGGAUGGCACCGCGGUGCAUUAGCUAGUUGGGGAGGUAACGGCUCACAAAGGCCCCGAUGCAUAGCCGACCUGAGAGGUUGAUCGGCCACACUGGGACGAAGACACGGCCCAGACUCCGACGGGAGGCAGCAGUAGGGAAUCUUCGGCAAUGGACGAAAGUCUGACCGAGCAACGCCGCGGGAGGGAAGAAGGUGUUCGGAUCGUAAAACUCUGUUGUUAGAGAAGCGGUAUCUAACCAGAAAGCCACGGCUAACUCCGUGCCAGCAGCCGCGGUAAUUC